AACGAACGCUGGCGGCAUGCCUAACACAUGCAGGUCGAACGAGAUCUUCGGGUCUAGUGGCGCACGGGUGCGUAACGCGUGGGAAUCUGCCCUUUGGUUCGGAAUAACAGUUGGAAACGACUGCUAAUACCGGAUGAUGACGAAAGUCCAAAGAUUUAUCGCCAGAGGAUGAGCCCGCGUAGGAUUAGCUAGUUGGUGAGGUAAAGGCGCACCAAGGCGACGAUCCUUAGCUGUCUGAGAGGAUGAUCAGCCACACUGGGACUGAGACACGGCCCAGACUCCUACGGGAGGCAGCAGUGGGAAUAUUGGACAAUGGGCGAAAGCCUGAUCCAGCAAUGCCGCGUGAGUGAUGAAGGCCUUAGGGUUGUAAAGCUCUUUUACCCGGGAUGAUAAUGACAGUACCGGGAGAAUAAGCUCCGGCUAACUCCGUGCCAGCCGCCGCCGUAA
rnacentral:rRNA from 1 species